rnacentral:rRNA from 1 species
CCUACGGGAGGCAGCAGUAGGGAAUUUUCGGCAAUGGGGGCAACCCUGACCGAGCAACGCCGCGUGAGUGAAGAAGGGUUUCGGCUCGUAAAGCUCUGUUGUUGGAGAAGAACGUGCGUGAGAGUAACUGUUCACGCAGUGACGGUAUCCAACCAGAAAGUCACGGCUAACUACGUGCCAGCAGCCGCGGUAAUACGUAGGUGGCAAGC